AUACGGAGGGUGCAAGCGUUGUUCGGAAUUAUUGGGCGUAAAGCGCGUGUAGGCGGUCUUUUAAGUCUGAUGUGAAAGCCCCGGGCUCAACCUGGGAAGUGCAUUGGAAACUGGGAGGCUUGAGUACGGGAGAGGAGAGUGGAAUUCCUAGUGUAGGAGUGAAAUCCGUAGAUAUUAGGAGGAACACCGGUGGCGAAGGCGGCUGCCUGGACCGAUAUUGACGCUGAGACGCGAAAGCGUGGGUAGC
rnacentral:rRNA from 1 species